AGCUCCAAUAGCGUAUAUUAAAGUUGUUGCAGUUAAAAAGCUCGUAGUUGGAUUUCUGUUUUGAAUUACCGGUCCGCUCAUGUAUUUGAGUGUGUACUAUGGUUAUUCAAUUCAUUUUUGUGAGGAUCCUGAUCUGGCAUUAAGUUGCUGGAUUUGUGUACUUGCAUCUUUUACUGUGAAAAAAUUAGAGUGUUUAAAGCAGGCGUUCGCUUAUUUGAAUACAUUAGCAUGGAAUAAUAAGAUACGACUUGUGUGGUCUAUUUUGUUGGUUUGCACACGCGAGUAAUGAUUAAUAGGGACAGUUGGGGGUAUUCAUAUUUCAGCGUCAGAGGUGAAAUUCUUGGAUCGCUGAAAGAUGAGCUUAGGCGAAAGCAUUUACCAUGGAUGUUUUCAUUAAUCA
rnacentral:rRNA from 1 species